rnacentral:rRNA from 1 species
GGGAAACUGUGGGUAAUACCGGGCGACGUUGCGAGGGGACAUCCUCUUGCAACCAAAUGAAUUUCGCCUGGGGAGCGGCUCACGUCGUAUUAGCUAGUUGGUGAGGUAACGGCCCACCAAGGCUGAGAUGCGUAGCGGGUGUGAGAGCACGACCCGCGCCACUGGCACUGAGACACUGGCCAGACACUUACGGGUGGCUGCAGUCGAGGAUCUUCGGCAAUGGGCGCAAGCCUGACCGAGCGACGCCGCGUGUGGGAUGAAGGCCUUCGGGUUGUAAACCACUGUCGAGGGGGAGAAAGGCGCAAGCUUGAUCUAUCCCUGGAGGAAGCACGGGCUAAGUUCGUGCCAGCAGCCGCGGUAAGACGAACCGUGCGAACGUUGUUCGGAUUCACUGGGCUUAAAGGGCGCGUAGGCGGCUAGACCAGUCUGUGGUGAAAUCUUUCGGCUUAACCGGAAAAUUGCCGUGGAUACUGUCUGGCUCGAGGAAGGUAGGGGCAACUGGAACGGCCAGUGGAGCGGUGAAAUGCGUUGAUAUUGGCAGGAACGCCGGUGGCGAAAGCGAGUUGCUGGACCUUUUCUGACGCUGAGGCGCGAAAGCUAGGGAAGCAAACGGGAUUAGAUACCCCGGUAGUCCUAGCCCUAAACGAUGAGAACUAGGUUGUGGACUUGACAUGGGUUCACAGCCGAAGCAAAAGUGCUAAGUUCUCCGCCCGGGGAGUAUGGUCGCAAGGCUGAAACUCAAAGGAAUUGACGGGGGCUCACACAAGCGGUGGAGCAUGUGGCUUAAUUCGAGGCUACGCGAAGAACCUUA